ensembl:snRNA U2 U2 spliceosomal RNA
AUCGCUUCUCAGCCUUUUGGCUAAGAUCAAGUGUAUUAUCUGACUGUCUUCAGGGCUUUGCUCUCAGGGUAGGUUAAUGCACAGGAAGUAUUCACAAAUGUGGAGCUUACCCACUUGAGUAAGCCCCACACACGCUUGAACACUAAUCAUCUGAAAAGGUUUUAGGAUGUAAAAGUU